rnacentral:rRNA from 1 species
GAUGAACGCUCGCUACAGGCUUAACACAUGCAAGUCGAGGGGCAGCAUGGUCUUAGCUUGCUAAGGCCGAUGGCGACCGGCGCACGGGUGAGUAACACGUAUCCAACCUGCCGUCUACUCUUGGACAGCCUUCUGAAAGGAAGAUUAAUACAAGAUGGCAUCAUGAGUUCACAUGUUCACAUGAUUAAAGGUAUUCCGGUAGACGAUGGGGAUGCGUUCCAUUAGAUAGUAGGCGGGGUAACGGCCCACCUAGUCUUCGAUGGAUAGGGGUUCUGAGAGGAAGGUCCCCCACAUUGGAACUGAGACACGGUCCAAACUCCUACGGGAGGCAGCAGUGAGGAAUAUUGGUCAAUGGGCGAGAGCCUGAACCAGCCAAGUAGCGUGAAGGAUGACUGCCCUAUGGGUUGUAAACUUCUUUUAGAAAGGAAUAAAGUCGGGUAUGUAUACCCGUUUGCAUGUACUUUAUGAAUAAGGAUCGGCUAACUCCGUG